CCUACGGGAGGCAGCAGUAGGGAAUAUUGCUCAAUGGGGGAAACCCUGAAGCAGCAACGCCGCGUGUAGGAUGAAGGUUUUCGGAUUGUAAACUCCUUUUGUUAGAGAAGAUAAUGACGGUAUCUAACGAAUAAGCACCGGCUAACUCCGUGCCAGCAGCCGCGGUCAUACGGAGGGUGCAAGCGUUACUCGGAAUCACUGGGCGUAAAGAGCGCGGAGGCGGGAUAGCAAGUCAGAUGUGAAAUCCUAUGGCUUAACCAUAGAACUGCAUUUGAAACUGGUAGUCUAGAGUAUGGUAGAGGUAGGUGGAAUUCUUGGUGUAGGGGUGAAAUCCGUAGAGAUCAAGAGGAAUACCCGUGGCGAAGGCGGCCUGCUGGAACAAGACUGACGCUGAUGUGCGAAAGCGUGGGGAGCAAACAGGAUUAGAUACCCUUGUAGUC
rnacentral:rRNA from 1 species